CGAAGAGUUCAGAGGUCAUCGUCACUACCUGGACUCCUCGAGACCGCAACGCGAUCAGGGAGGAAACAGAGAUGAACAUUGAGACGAGACGCCACAGAGUUUUAUCACAGCAGCCGGACAUUUGAGGAACUGCAGCUCAACACCAGGAGGAGACAGGAAGCGGGUUGUCAGCAUGUUAUUUAAUCAGAUUAUCGAUCAGGAAGUGAAUGUUUUUACAAAAUAAAAUGUACGAGAGAAGAAUCUUUAGAAACAU